ensembl:snoRNA
CCCGCCACUAUUCCUGUCUACCAUAGUGACUUGGUGUAGUCCAGUGGAGGCUUAGAGUAACCCAGCUUUAGGAAACAGAGCUGCCCAAACUAAUGGUCAACCCUGUGCCGAAAAGUCUAGAACAUUC